rnacentral:rRNA from 1 species
CCUACGGGUGGCAGCAGUGGGGAAUAUUGCACAAUGGGCGCAAGCCUGAUGCAGCCAUGCCGCGUGUGUGAAGAAGGCCUUCGGGUUGUAAAGCACUUUCAGCGGGGAGGAAGGCGUUAAGGUUAAUAACCUUGGCGAUUGACGUUACCCGCAGAAGAAGCACCGGCUAACUCCGUGCCAGCAGCCGCGGUAAUACGGAGGGUGCAAGCGUUAAUCGGAAUUACUGGGCGUAAAGCGCACGCAGGCGGUCUGUCAAGUCGGAUGUGAAAUCCCCGGGCCCAACCUGGGAACUGCAUUCGAAACUGGCAGGCUAGAGUCUUGUAGAGGGGGGUAGAAUUCCAGGUGUAGCGGUGAAAUGCGUAGAGAUCUGGAGGAAUACCGGUGGCGAAGGCGGCCCCCUGGACAAAGACUGACGCUCAGGUGCGAAAGCGUGGGGAGCAAACAGGAUUAGAUACCCGAGUAGUC